rnacentral:lncRNA from 1 species
GUUGUCAGACGCAGUCCCCUUUAGUUAUGUUAGGGCUCAAUUGCACUAGACCAUACAAUCCUUCUAGGGUAAUGCGCCAGUUAGGUAGGCUACAGGACGUGCCACCAGCAGUGGAUCUUCUGAAGGAUGUUGAGUACUUCAAGGACCAAGCCUUAGGUGAGAGCAGGUAUGAGCAGUUUUAGAAGCAUGCAACAAAGCUA